UGGGGAAUUUUGCACAAUGGGGGAAACCCUGAUGCAGCGACGCCGCGUGAUUUAGAAGGCCUUCGGGUUGUAAAAAUCUUUUCUAUGGGAAGAAAAUGACAGUACCAUAGGAAUAAGGACCGGCUAAUUACGUGCCAGCAGCCGCGGUAAUACGUAAGGUCCGAGCGUUGUCCGGAAUCAUUGGGCGUAAAGGGUACGUAGGCGGGUAAGCAAGUUAGAAGUGAAAUCCUAUAGCUGAACUAUAGUAAGCUUUUAAAACUGCUCAUCUUGAGGUAUGGAAGGGAAAGUGGAAUUCCUAGUGUAGCGGUGAAAUGCGCAGAUAUUAGGAGGAAUACCGGUGGCGAAGGCGACUUUCUGGCCAUAACCUGACGCUGAGGUACGAAAGCGUGGGUAGCAAACAGG
rnacentral:rRNA from 1 species